ensembl:lncRNA
CAUCUUUCUUUCUUGUCAUUUCUCUGUUUAUAUUUCCAAGAAAGAAGCAAGGAUUAACCCAGCUUUUAUGUGUAUGAGUGCCAGGUUAUGAAAUGAGUUGCUGACAAGCCUAUUGAUUGACUGCCUGUUGGUUAGGAGUACGUCCUGAACCAAUGAGCUCUAGGGGUGGGGUCACACAGGGCAAAGCGUAACCACUUAAAGCUGCUCCUUCCAGUUUCCCCGAGCAGGAUUAAUGGGGAUGACAGAUAAUGUGAAUAACUUGUUUACCACGGAGAGAGACACCCGUAAAAUUAACCCUAUGUUGUGAUAACAUCAUGAGCCAAACUCACUGGGCAAGCUUGGCAGCACACGUGGUGGGAAAAGAAAAGGACCCGUAACCAGGGAAAGUGCCUCGGUGGAAUUCCUGUGACCUACACUAUGGACGGAGCAGACUUCAUUAUUCACAACAGGCUGGAAGUCCAGUUACCAGCAGUGUGUCCACGUCUGAAGCCAGACAGAAACUUGUUCAGCCAGUUUCCUUCUUUCACGAGGCUGUUCCAAAACUGACACAUGCAGACUGAGAAAAACACUGAGAGUUUCUGUGUUCCCAGGAAUGAGUCCCACCAGAACAGGUCUCGGCAUUGAAGCUGAACCCAUAGCCAACCGGUGAGACCUGACUGGACCUCUCCUCUCCUUUGAAAGAAAGCAGGCCUGGCUGACACCCAACACCCCAGAGGUACCAGCCCCCCACCACACACGGCUGUGAAUAAACCCCAUCUUGCUGCUCACGGCGGGGUGUGGCCUUGGUUAACCACAAACCGGUCUAAAGACUUCACUGACAGGCCAGCUGAAAGCCUUUGUUUGUCAUCCAGCCCCUGAGGCAUAUGAUUAGAAGAAUUACUUAAAAUGUUAAGAUGUUACAUUCCUAAAGCCCUGGCUGUGACCCAGAGAGACUCUCGCAAGGUGGCUGGCCCCAGCCACUUCACUCCUAGAUGAAACCCAAGUCACCUGGAAUCCUUGGGGUGACACGGCAUGGAGAAUGCAGCUCAUCGGUGACACUGCUGACCAACAGGAAGGCCUUUCAUUGACCAGUCUCCAGGGUCGAGUGGUCACCAUGGAGCCCAGCUUUGUGUGAGGGGCAUAAAGACCACAUGGAGAGUUCACCUCACACUUUCCUUCUCCAUCCCCGAGUUGUGCACUACUGAGACCCACAAAGCUUCUCGAAUCCACACAAUGGAUAUCAUCAGGACUGUGGCAGGAAAGCAUUACGGCUUUGAGACUCAACAAGGAAGUAAUAUGUGGAUAAUGUCCAUGAAGCCAUGUUACCGAUUUCUCUCUGAGGGUCUUCCAACUUCUUGCUGCAUUCUCAGCUGUUCACAGCCUGGAGGGGAGAGGAGGGGAUGCAGAUAAAAGAAAUGAUCGAUGUAUCUGAACUUCCCAUCCUUCCCCCAGAAGGGAGAUUCAUGGCUGACUGACAGAAGCAGGCCAGUAGUUGCUUAGAUCUGCUGGGAACGAAAUGAAAAUACGAAAAACACUGGAGCUAAAAUUCCAGAGUGCCUGCUGCCAGCCAAAGCCCAUUGACUUGCUGAAUCAACCAGAUAGAGAACAUUGUACACAAGUGGAUCCUGGACCGUCAAGUGCUGCACGAAGCUUGUCACUGGUGUCAAAGAGAGAGGAUGCUGAGCCCCUGAACUCUAUGGCUUCAAGAUGCUCCGUUUUGCCCUGGCUGGAAAAGCUGGUCAGUGUUAUUUGUAAUCAGUGUGGUGUGAGGACCAGCUGCAUCGUCAACUCCCAGGAGCCUGAUGCAACUGGAGCAUCUCAGACCCCGACCCAGACCUACUGAAUCAGAAGCCGCAGUUGAACAAGAUCCCUGGCAGCUUCGCAGGCACAUAAAAGUUUAAAAAGCAAUGCUUUAGAGCAAGUUAGGCAAAAAGAAGAGCUGAGAAGUGUGGGAUAGCUAAGUGCUGGCUUGCUUUAACAAGGGGGAAUAUUAUAGUCAGCUCGGUGCCCACUUCCACCCACUGGGCAGGAGAACUAGCAACAGCCCCUGGGCCACAGUGGGGUGGUGUAGACAGUAAUGGAGAGGCAGAGGAAGAGGGUCUGGCUUCAGCUUCAUGGCUAAAAGGACAACAGGUGCCCUUCCUUCCAGGUGCUGUCAUACCUUCUUCGCCUUUAUCAGAGAAAGCCAGGCCCGUAUGAAUAUAGAUUGUGCGAAAGUAGCCUAAGCAACAUAAAAGAAAAAAAGGAUUUAUUUUUCCAAUUAACAAAGGGUAAUGGGCUUCUUCUAAAAAUUCUGCUUGGUGGUGUAUGCCACAUGAGUAAUUUUCCUUCUGCUUACUUCUCCAGAGAGGCUGCACCAGGACUACCCUACCUAAUUACUUUGCUUGCAGCCUGGUUGAGCAGCAACUGCCACAGUACCUACGGCUCCCACCUGGAAGACCAGUGAGCUGUACCAAACCGAGAAAGAGAUCUUGCACACUCAAAGCUGUGCUGGAAUCCUGGCUAUUCUAGUUACCAUGUGACCCUGGGCCAGUCCCUUAUUUCCUGAAAUGGAGAUAAUAAACUAUAAAAUGCUGAGUGUUCAUUAGAAUUAAUUGCUCACGAUUAAGUGGAGGCAGAGCAGCAUAGCUUAGCCUGGCCUGACUAAUAAUGGCACGACUAUUUCCUCUGUGUUACAGUUGAGGAGGCUACAGCUUUGAGAAGUACGACCUCAUGGCCUACAGCUGGAAAGUGGCAGAGCCUGGACUGGUAGACAGCAGGUCUGUCUCCCUCAAGAGCCCAGAAGACAGUUAAACCUGAUACCAUCGCCCGGAUGCAGCAAGGCAUCUUUCCCUCCCGGUUCCUCCCACUCUGCCCCGGAACGGAUGCUCCCACACUUGAAGAUGGAAUUACAAGUGAACCAGAUUCACAAAGGGGACUCGCCGACAAUUUAUGUUAGGAGAGUAAUCAAUGUUCACAUCAUCUAUCUUACUACCCUUCUGACUGCACGAGUCAUUAUUGAGAUUUUAAGUUGUGCCCUAUUCAAUCUUUCUCUCCUUUGCUUCUGAAUCAUUUGAUUUUCUCACCCCGGAAAAUCUAACUUUUUAUGUCAACAAGAAAAAUCUCGAAACAAGGUGGUAAAACAAACACCCCAUUGACUCUCAGACUGUAAAAUAACUAACCUUCCCCCUCCCUCUUCCCACCCCCUAUUCUUCCGCCUCCCUGCUCUUUUUUUUUUUUUAGUGCAAAUGAAGCCGAGUUUCGGGCUCCCUCCCAGGCUGGAGAAUAAGUACACCCUUAGCUUGAGUGAAACAGAGAAGGUUGAAACUGAACGAUUGAAUAGAUUUGAAUUAAAACAAUUUUCUCUCAAACAAAAGCAUUUAAGAGAGUUCAGCAAAGGUUAGGCAUGCCGAGAAUGCUGUAUUUCCUGGUAUCUUCUGAUUAGCUUUUAAGAUAAUUAGUGGUGAUGGGAGUACAGCCUAAGCAACAAGGACAUUCCUGGAGAGAAGCAGGAAGGGGAGAGCUGAGAAUCCAGAGCAGUAACCCCACCGGCUGUGUUUGCAUCUGUAAAUUCUCCCUCUGGCUUCAGUGACAUCUGGGUGACCCUAGG